rnacentral:rRNA from 1 species
AGGACGAACGCUGGCGGCGUGCUUAACACAUGCAAGUCGAGCGGUAAGGCCUUUCGGGGUACACGAGCGGCGAACGGGUGAGUAACACGUGGGUGAUCUGCCCUGCACUCUGGGAUAAGCCUGGGAAACUGGGUCUAAUACCGGAUAUGACCUGCUCUCGCAGUGGGGGUGGGUAGGAAAGUAUUUUAUCGGUGCAGGAGUCGGGCCCGCGGCCUAUCAGUCGUUUGGUUGGUGGGGUAAUCGGCCUAACCGAAGGCGACGGACGGGUAGCCGACCUGAGGAGGGUCGACCCGGCCACGUACGUGGGACUGACGACCACGGCCCAG